UAAGGAAUAUUGCGCAAUGGACGAAAGUCUGACGCAGCGACGCCGCGUGGGGGAUGAAGGUCUUCGGAUUGUAAACCCCUUUCGGGAGGGAAGAUGGAGUGGGUAACCACUUGGACGGUACCUCCAGAAGCAGCCACGGCUAACUUCGUGCCAGCAGCCGCGGUAAUACGAAGGUGGCAAGCGUUGUUCGGAUUCACUGGGCGUACAGGGAGCGUAGGCGGUUGGGUAAGCCCUCCGUGAAAUCUCCGGGCCUAACCCGGAAAGUGCAGAGGGGACUGCUCAGCUAGAGGAUGGGAGAGGAGCGCGGAAUUCCCGGUGUAGCGGUGAAAUGCGUAGAGAUCGGGAGGAAGGCCGGUGGCGAAUGCGGCGCUCUGGAACAUUUCUGACGCUGAGGCUCGAAAGCGUGGGGAGCAAACAGGAUUAGAUACCCCUGUAGUCCCUGAGCGGGCUGGCAAGGCGCAU
rnacentral:rRNA from 1 species